AUGCACGGGCGGUUGCGGGCGCGCGCGGCCAGGCGAAGGCGGACGCGGCCGCGGGUGGGGCAACCGCAAAGGCGGACGCCGGCGGCAGCGACGCAACAAGAUGCAGCGGCAGCAAGCAAGGCAAGCGGGGACAGGGGCAGCCGUGGCAAGAGUAGCAGAAGCAGGCAAGCAAUAGCAUUAGCAGCAGGAGGUAAGCAGCAGCAGCCAAGCAAGCAGCGCCGUACAGGAAGCAGCAGCGCAGCAGCGGUAGUAGCAGGGGAGCGGCGGCGCGGGGCACGAGCCGCGGCAAGCACGGGACGGCCAUGGGGCAGCAGCGGCGCAUAG
rnacentral:rRNA from 1 species